rnacentral:lncRNA from 10 species
CAGCGCCUUCCCAGGCUGGAGCAGCUUGUUCAGUGUGUCUUGAGAACAGCACUCAUAGUCAAACUUUAAAUUCUACUGGAGAUUCUCACAUGCCCACAGGGGUGAUCAUCACUGACAUAUAUUGUGAACGAUUUAAAGCCCGGGACUAUGAAUUAUACAUUUUCUAUGCGCUUUCACACUUCUAUAGAUUUUGUUCAGUAAAAUCUUGUUGAAUGUUUUUAAAUUUUGCGUAAAGAUUUUUGUGCAGAUCAAAACUUGUGGAUUUCUGAGAGCACCUUAUUUAACCAAUAGAUCAAGGGUUGGCAAAUUAUAGCCUCUAGCCAACGGACCCCGGCGAGGCCUGUUCAGUUAUGUAAUUGUAGAUGCUUUCAAGCUCCAAAGGCAGAUUUGAGGAGCUGUGACAGAGACCAUAUGGCCUGAAAAGCCCUAAAAUAUUUACUAUCUGGCCCUUUACAGAAAGAGGUUGCUGA